AAAUUGAAGAGUUUGAUCAUGGCUCAGAUUGAACGCUGGCGGCAGGCCUAACACAUGCAAGUCGAACGGUAACAGGAAGCAGCUUGCUGCUUUGCUGACGAGUGGCGGACGGGUGAGUAAUGUCUGGGAAACUGCCUGAUGGAGGGGGAUAACUACUGGAAACGGUGGCUAAUACCGCAUAACGUCGCAAGACCAAAGAGGGGGACCUUCGGGCCUCUUGCCAUCAGAUGUGCCCAGAUGGGAUUAGCUUGUUGGUGAGGUAACGGCUCACCAAGGCGACGAUCCCUAGCUGGUCUGAGAGGAUGACCAGCCACACUGGAACUGAGACACGGUCCAGACUCCUACGGGAGGCAGCAGUGGGGAAUAUUGCACAAUGGGCGCAAGCCUGAUGCAGCCAUGCCGCGUGUAUGAAGAAGGCCUUCGGGUUGUAAAGUACUUUCAGCGGGGAGGAAGGUGUUGUGGUUAAUAACCGCAGCAAUUGACGUUACCCGCAGAAGAAGCACCGGCUAACUCCGUGCCAGCAGCCGCGGUAAUACGGAGGGUGCAAGCGUUAAUCGGAAUUACUGGGCGUAAAGCGCACGCAGGCGGUCUGUCAAGUCGGAUGUGAAAUCCCCGGGCUCAACCUGGGAACUGCAUUCGAAACUGGCAGGCUUGAGUCUUGUAGAGGGGGGUAGAAUUCCAGGUGUAGCGGUGAAAUGCGUAGAGAUCUGGAGGAAUACCGGUGGCGAAGGCGGCCCCCUGGACAAAGACUGACGCUCAGGUGCGAAAGCGUGGGGAGCAAACAGGAUUAGAUACCCUGGUAGUCCACGCCGUAAACGAUGUCUACUUGGAGGUUGUGCCCUUGAGGCGUGGCUUCCGGAGCUAACGCGUUAAGUAGACCGCCUGGGGAGUACGGCCGCAAGGUUAAAACUCAAAUGAAUUGACGGGGGCCCGCACAAGCGGUGGAGCAUGUGGUUUAAUUCGAUGCAACGCGAAGAACCUUACCUGGUCUUGACAUCCACGGAAGAAUCCAGAGAUGGAUUUGUGCCUUCGGGAACCGUGAGACAGGUGCUGCAUGGCUGUCGUCAGCUCGUGUUGUGAAAUGUUGGGUUAAGUCCCGCAACGAGCGCAACCCUUAUCCUUUGUUGCCAGCGGUCCGGCCGGGAACUCAAAGGAGACUGCCAGUGAUAAACUGGAGGAAGGUGGGGAUGACGUCAAGUCAUCAUGGCCCUUACGACCAGGGCUACACACGUGCUACAAUGGCGCAUACAAAGAGAAGCGACCUCGCGAGAGCAAGCGGACCUCAUAAAGUGCGUCGUAGUCCGGAUUGGAGUCUGCAACUCGACUCCAUGAAGUCGGAAUCGCUAGUAAUCGUGGAUCAGAAUGCCACGGUGAAUACGUUCCCGGGCCUUGUACACACCGCCCGUCACACCAUGGGAGUGGGUUGCAAAAGAAGUAGGUAGCUUAACCUUCGGGAGGGCGCUUACCACUUUGUGAUUCAUGACUGGGGUGAAGUCGUAACAAGGUAACCGUAGGGGAACCUGC
rnacentral:rRNA from 1 species